rnacentral:rRNA from 1 species
GAUGAACGCUGGCGGCGUGCCUAAUACAUGCAAGUCGAGCGAACAGACGAGGAGCUUGCUCCUCUGACGUUAGCGGCGGACGGGUGAGUAACACGUGGAUAACCUACCUAUAAUACUGGGAUAACUUCGGGAAACCGGAGCUAAUACCGGAUCAUAUAUUGAACCGCAUGGUUCAAUAGUGAAAGACGGUUUUGCUGUCACUUAUAGAUGGAUCCGCGCCGCAUUAGCUAGUUGGUAAGGUAACGGCUUACCAAGGCGACGAUGCGUAGCCGACCUGAGAGGGUGAUCGGCCACACUGGAACUGAGACACGGUCCAGACUCCUACGGGAGGCAGCAGUAGGGAAUCUUCCGCAAUGGGCGAAAGCCUGACGGAGCAACGCCGCGUGAGUGAUGAAGGUCUUCGGAUCGUAAAACUCUGUUAUUAGGGAAGAACAAAUGUGUAAGUAACUAUGCACGUCUUGACGGUACCUAAUCAGAAAGCCACGGCUAACUACGUG